rnacentral:rRNA from 1 species
CAGUCGCCGCGGUAAUACGAAGGGUGCGAGCGUUAAUCGGAAUUACUGGGCGUAAAGCGUGCGUAGGCGGUGAGUUAAGUCUGCUGUGAAAUCCCCGGGCUCAACCUGGGAAUGGCAGUGGAUACUGGCUCGCUAGAGUGUGUCAGAGGAUGGUGGAAUUCUCGGUGUAGCGGUGAAAUGCGUAGAUAUGUGGAGGAACAUCAGUGGCGAAGGCAGCCACCUGGGCCAAUACUGACGCUGAUGCACGAAAGCGUGGGGAGCAAACAGGAUUAGAUACCCCUGUAGUCCCUGUCUCUUAUAC